AUGGCUGUGUUGAGCAGAGAAGCUAGCGGUUCAAACCGACGGUUGUCGCUGAUGUUCACUGAUGGUCAGCGCACAAAUGUGCCGGAUUUAGAUCUCGCGGAGGUUGACGGUAAGGCGGGUCCGGCGCGGGUCAAUGAUUUCGAUGCAUUGUCAUCUUUGUAUUUGAAAGUUGAAGAAGCUGCCAUGGAAUUGAAUCGUACCAGAUCGCAAUCAAGUGGUAUGUAUUUUGAUGAGUUAGAAGUAAUGAGGGCUUGA